rfam:Glycine max cultivar Williams 82 chromosome 7, whole genome shotgun sequence.
GGGUCAAUACUUCAGUGGUAGAGCAUUUAACUGCAGAUAAAAAAGUCACCAGUUUGAACCCGGUUGGGUCCU